GGGUUGUGAGGUUAAGCGACUAAGCGUACACGGUGGAUGCCCUGGCAGUCAGAGGCGAUGAAGGACGUGCUAAUCUGCGAUAAGCGUCGGUAAGGUGAUAUGAACCGUUAUAACCGGCGAUUUCCGAAUGGGGAAACCCAGUGUGUUUCGACACACUAUCAUUAACUGAAUCCAUAGGUUAAUGAGGCGAACCGGGGGAACAUGAAACAUCUAAGUACCCCGAGGA
rnacentral:rRNA from 1 species